AUUGAACGCUGGCGGCGGGCUUAACACAUGCAAGUCGAGCGGAGUGAUGGUGCUUGCACUAUCACUUAGCGGCGGACGGGUGAGUAAUGCUUAGGAAUCUGCCAUUUAGUGGGGGACAACAUUCCGAAAGGAAUGCUAAUACCGCAUACGUCCUACGGGAGAAAGCAGGGGAUCUUCGGACCUUGCGCUAAAUGGUGAGCCUAAGUCGGAUUAGCUAGUUGGUGGGGUAAAGGCCUACCAAGGCGACGAUCUGUAGCGGGUCUGAGAGGAUGAUCCGCCACACUGGGACUGAGACACGGCCCAGACUCCUACGGGAGGCAGCAGUGGGGAAUAUUGGACAAUGGGCGGAAGCCUGAUCCAGCCAUGCCGCGUGUGUGAAGAAGGCCUUUUGGUUGUAAAGCACUUUAAGCGAGGAGGAGGCUACUAGUACUAAUACUACUGGAUAGUGGACGUUACUCGCAGAAUAAGCACCGGCUAACUCUGUGCCAGCAGCCGCCGUAAUAC
rnacentral:rRNA from 1 species